ensembl:lncRNA
UCCUACCAAAUUGCUGUAUGUGGACUCGCCCUCACAGGUAAACACUUUUACAUUCUUAAGGUUUGGGCAAAGUGUCACAUUUCUGGUAGAAUCGGGAGCAACGUAUUCAGUAAUAAAACACUGCGAAUUAAAAGAAACCCCGAUAACGAGUUCACGGUCACUGCACAGUAUUAGACCUAAUUUUGUCUUCAUGUCCAGACAACUACUGGGCAGAGACUUAAUGUGUGUUUUACACUUAAAUUUUAUGUCCUCACCUCAGGGAGUAAGAAGAAAUGAUGACUCAUCAUUGUAACUCUGUUUGUUAAAGAAACAGAGCUCUGUGUUUAUCAAUGGUCCAAGCAUAACAAGCCUAGAGCAUGUGCUCGUUUGUUGACGUUGGCACAUGAUAAGAUGAAGGACAACUAUGUAGAUUUUAUGCUGUCCUCUGCCCUUCAUUGCACAGCGCAAGUGCAUGAAGAAAGAGACUUUAAUUUUGAGAAAGAAUGGUUUAUGGAUUUCCCAGAAAGCGAAGAGCUGUACCUAUGUUGCUGGAAAAAUUUUGUGCAUGUCCAGUCAAAUUGAGUGACAUGCAGUUGCGUGCAUUUUUUGUCCCAGAAUCAGCGCCUCACGUCUCAUUAACCAAAAUAAAGAACAAACAGUAGAAAGACGUAGGGCUGUGGGUCAGAUUAUAUGAGAGUGGGAAAAUUACACAUUGGGAACAGAAGCCCACCUCCAACAUGUGGUACAGCCUGACGCUGGGAAUUUAUUUAAAAAAAAUUCUUUCUGGAAAUGUGCAAGGUUAACCGGGAGGUUUGUCAUGAAAAUAGAAUGUUUCUGAACCUUGGAACGAGCCCCACACCCCUAGAGACACACCCACAAUUGAAGAAGGUGCCUCUCGGGCUGUGGGCCCAAGGGAAACAUGACGUAGGCCUGAUUUAAAAGUGCACCACCAGUCGUGAUCACUCCCAAAUCUGACUUUAGGCCCAGACAAUCUCCAUACCCUCUUAAAUCAGAAGCUAUUGAGGGCAUUGGACCAGAUUUCAAUUCAUUAUUGAAGGUAGGGGUCAUUGUUCCCUGCCUUGAUUUGUCAGUGCGCACUCCAAUAUAUCCGGUAAAGAAGGCAAGAAAACCCCCACAACCAGAUGAAUGGAGAUUUGUACAAGAUUUGCAAGCAGUUAAUGCAGCAGUCAAACUGAGAGCUCCAGACAUGCCAAAUUCUUACACUAUAUUAAGCCAGGUUCCAGCAAAUAGCGAAUCGUUUUCAGUCGUAGAUUUAGCUAAUGCAUUUUUAAAAAGUAUAUCUCUUGAUAAAGACAUACAGUUUCAGUUUGCAUUCAUAUUUGAUGGAUGUCCUUACACUUUCACUCGCUUGUGUUUAAGGGAAUUGAGAGUCACUAACAUUCCCACCGUGGCCCCGUGUGUGCGGAGUUUGCAUGUUCUCCCCGUGCUGCCAGGGUUUCCUCCGGGUACUCUGGUUUCCUCCCCCAGUCCAAAGACAUGCAUGGUAGGCUGAUUGGCAUGUCCAAAGUAUCCGUAGUGUAUGAAUGGGUUUGUGAAUGUGUAUGUGAUUGUGCCCUGCGAUGGAUUGGCACCCUGUCCAAGGUGUACCCCGCCUUGUGCCCCAUGCUCCCUGGGAUAGGUUCUAGGUUUCCCCGUGACCAUGAAGGAAGGAUAAGCAGUAUAGAAGAUGGAUGGAUGGAUGGAUGGAUGGAUGGAGAGUCACUAACGAUAUACAACCAAAUGCUAAAGGACAGCUUAGCACCUCUACCACUUUCUCCAGGGCACAGUGUGAAACUGACACCAUUAAAUUGUUGCAGCAUCUUGCCAAAGAAGGACACAAAGCCAGUCUCUCCAAAUUACAGUAUGUACGACAAGAAGUGAGAUUUCUAAGGCAUGACAUUUCUGCAAAGGGAAAGAAACUCUCAACUGAAAGAGUAUCUGCAAUCCAAAAGAUUCCCAAGCCUCGGAUGAAGAAACAGGUUCUCUCUAUCCUAGGUAUGUGUUUGUAUCGCAGAACUUUCAUUCUAAACUAUACCAUUCUAGAAGCACCGCUCAGAGAGAUGGCAUAUGUGACAGGUUGGACAGCUCAUUCUCAGGUAAGUUGGAUCCAGUUGCUACAGAGUUUCCCCCAUGGGUAUGUUCAGUAGCAGCAGCUGAGAAAGCUGUGAUGGCAUCCAGAGAUCUGGUAGGUUACACAGAAUUUAACCUCUUGGUUCCACAUGAGGUGUUGUUACUCCUACUUGAACAGAAAACCUCACACCUGUCCACUCAAUGGUGGCUGCACCAUAACACUAUACUACUAGACAUGCAGAAAGUCACUAUGAAACAAUGUACUGUCCUUAACCCUGCUACUCUUCUUCCAACAGAGGGAGACGGAGAACCACAUGACUGUGUCGUAUUGACCAACGAAUUCUGCUCUCAUAGAGUCGACCUGAAAGGUGUUCUAUUGGAAAAUGUAGAUCUGAUCCUCUUUGUGGAUGGGUCAGCGUCACGUGACCCAGAGACAGCAGGUAAAGGCAGCACUUCCAGCUCCAGCCACGAGUCCGCUGCAUGAUCUGAAGCCUGGAGAGUAGAUCGUGAUCAAGGACUUCCGCAGGACCAGGUGGAACAAGCCACGGUGGUCUGGGCCAUUCCAGGUUCUAUUUGUCACUCAUUCAGCAGUGAAAGUCAACCAGAGAGCCACAUGGAUGUGUGCGAGCCACUGCAGGAGGGUGCCAGAGCCAAGCAUUGAGCUCUGCAUAUACACACCCACAUAACGUCACACGUCCCCUCAUCAUGCAGACACAUAAUGGUUAUUCUAUCAUUGAACACAGGCGGUCUGCGAUACGCAACCCUCCACAGGCUAGCGAGAUGGGGUUUGAUUGGCUGAACUCAGUACUCGGGGGGUGGGGCUCAUGGAUAUUAACCAUCUGUCUACCAAUAGGUGCAAUAAUUCUUCUUGUCUUGCUCAUUUUGCCUUGUAUCGUUUCUCUCGUUCGGAGCAGUCUCUCACACUCGUUGAAAUCACUAAUGACCAAACGCUGAUGUUGACGAAGACUGAGUCUUUGAUGACCAAUCUGACUUGUAUCCUAAACCUGACUGGGUAUCAGAUCCUCCCAGCGACACUGACGAUGACGACCAAUUGACAUCCAUUUCACACCUAUUGUAAAUAUUCCUUUGACCAUGACGAUUCUCAUUUCACUCUAAGAUAAGCUUGCUUGACGACAGGUUACUUUAAAUCCGCAAAAACAGCCUUAGCAGUUUCAUUAUGUCUGUUUCAUGAUGAAUUCAGUUGAACCGUGAAAGGUUUCUGAAGUUCUGAUGUACUCAUAGAAUAGUAAUUUCUCUGUUAAUUUUAGUUAUCAUAUUUUGUAAUGAUAAAAUGGGGGAAAUGUGAGGGAAAUUAUUCAUUUUUACUUUGUAAUAGUUUUGUUCUUGUUCUAUUUCAUUCUCAUCUGAAGAUAACGCAUAAGAAGGCCAUGCCAUGUCACUGAGAUCAGUACAGAAUGCUUAUCUGCUUACAGAGACACAAACAUGUUCUUCUGUUCAAGGUUUGUCUGUCCAAGAUCCUAAAACAAAGCCUGUUUGAACUGCCUCAAACUGCUUCUUAUCGGUACACAGAAUUAUGUCAUGCUCUGCGUUUCAUAUAUAUAGUAGUGGUUUAGUACAAGGGCUUCAGAGCGCUCUCAUUAUUCUAUCCUACUUUAUUCUAUCCUGUAUUAAACAUCUUUCUGUAAUAAACCUUUUUACCUUCAGA